rfam:Hordeum vulgare subsp. vulgare, WGS project CAJW01000000 data, contig: morex_contig_1586550
UAUAUACUCCCUCCGUCCCAAAAUUCUUGUCUUGGGUUUUUCUAGAAACGGGUGUAUCUAAAUACUAAAACGUGACUAGAUACAUUUAUAUCUAGACAAAUCUAAGACAAGAAUUUUGGGACGGAUGGAGUAGUUG